rnacentral:SRP_RNA from 13 species
GCCGGGUGCGGUGGCAUGUACCUGUAAUCCAAGUCACUGGGAGGCUGAGGUUGGUGGAUCAAGUGAGCUGAGGAGCUCUGGGCUGCAGCACGCUAUGUCGAACGGGUGUCCACGCUAAGUUCGGUAUCGAUAUGGUGUUCCUGGGGGAGCCUGGGACCACCAGGUUGUCUAAGGAGGGGUGAACCGGCCCAGGUCGGAAACGAAGCAGGUCAAAUCCCCCGUGCUGUCCAGUAGUGGGAUAAUACCUGUGAGUUGAUGCUGCAGUGCAGCCUUGGCAAAACAUUGAGACCUAAUCUUUU